UCGUCAGUGAGGUUAAUCCUUACCUGUUCCUCCUCAGGGAGAAACAGACAUGAUGAAUGGAGGAGGCUGAAUGUGUGAUUACAUCCAUCUCCCGCACCGCCCUGAAUGACAACUCGGGGUGCGUGACAUUCUGAG